UGGAGCAGUCUGGUAGCUCGUCGGGCUCAUAACCCGAAGGUCGUUGGUUCAAAUCCAGCUCCCGCUACCA
rnacentral:tRNA from 2 species